GACGAACGCUGGCGGCGUGCUUAACACAUGCAAGUCGAGCGAACCUUCGGGUUAGCGGCGAACGGGUGAGUAACACGUGGGCAACCUGCCCCGAGCUCUGGGAUAACCCCGGGAAACCGGGGCUAAUGCCGGAUACGACAUCAACAGACAUCUGUCGAUGUGGAAAGUUUUUCGGCUCGGGAUGGGCCCGCGGCCUAUCAGCUUGUUGGUGGGGUAACGGCCUACCAAGGCGACGACGGGUAGCCGGCCUGAGAGGGCGACCGGCCACACUGGGACUGAGACACGGCCCAGACUCCUACGGGUGGCAGCAGUUGGGAAUCUUGCACAAUGGGGGAAACCCUGAUGCAGCGACGCCGCGUGGAGGACGAAGGGUCUAGGCCUGUAAACUCUUUUAUGGGAAAGACUUAGGACGGUACCCCAUGAAUAAGGACCGGACUAACUACGUG
rnacentral:rRNA from 1 species